GGUUGUACCUUUUAUUCAGGUUGUAAUCUCACCUCUGGGCUGAAUUAAUUGGAAAUGGAUAAGAAACAGGGCAUGUUACAAAGCAGUGUCAGCUACUCUAGAAGAGGAAUAGGAUUUCUCAGAGCCAGACUUCACUGUUCUUUGAUUCAACUUCUACAUCUGGCUGAUGAAACAUGCCCUCCUUAUCUUUGAUGAUCUGCAAAUGUAUAAAGGCGGAGUAUACAUCUCAGAAGUAAGCAUCUACCAUACAGACAUUUGCAAUGUGAGCCCUGACUGUCUAUCUGCAACUGAUUUGGUUAUUCCUCCAUUCCCUUGGAAAACCAGUGACACACUGGCCAACAUGCAGGCCAGGGCCAGGCAGAGGAAAGCUCUUCAGAUGCCAUUCAUCACAUCCUUCUCCUUUGACACCUGGGACAUCAGCACUGUGAGCUGCCUUUCCUCAAGCUUUAUUUCCUUUCAGCACGGAAUUGAAGUGAUUGCUCAUACACUUCAACAGGAAAUGUAUAUGAACUUUGAAAUGGAUAGACCUCAGCCUAGAUAGAGAGACAAACCAGAUACAUGCUAUUGGGGGCAACAAUAUCUUACCUUUUAGUGGACUUGACUUCCAUACCCUGCAUUAUUUACCGUUGUCUGCAUAGGGCAUCCUUGAGGAACACCAAACACUCAUACUCUGGUUUUGAAAGCCCAGUUAUGCUAUCCAGGGUGUGUCCAGAAACCAUGUCUUCAGUGUAGGGAUGGACCACUCUGACAUCCCAGAAAGACUGUGAAGCAGGAAUGGAACCUCACACCAUCUGCAGAUUGCUCCGAGGCCAAAGUAAUAUGGACAUCUCUGAGGAAAUGAAAAGGAAGGGAAGGCAUCCCCACUGUCCUCCUCACCAAUGGUGUUUCUUCAGUGCAUUGUGGGUGUUGGAUUUUUUGCUGUUGUUGUUUGUUUUGAGUCAAAUCUCAAAAAGGCCUUCAAAGAGGGGACCUUAACCUUCCUUGGCCAGUUUUGACUCAGAUGUUACUUAGGCAUAUGCCCACAGGUAAGAACAAUCCUGCUUCAAGGAGAUACAGCGUCUUAGAAAGCACUUUUGCCCGAAGUGCAGGAGACAGUGGUGUCUACCUCUUUUAUCCACCUCAAAGUGUAGUGUGAAGGACAGAUGUUUUAAAGUGUCAUCUAAUUGUUGAGUGUUUUUCUCAUCGUCAGGAAAAGAACACAAGAGCAGCCAGUCUGGCUCAGAUCACCCCUCAACUUUCAACAUGGCCACAACACUUGCCGUUACCUGUGUGUAGACUUCACUUGUUUCCUAUUGAGCCAAAAUAACAAUAAAAGAUUGCCUAUUCC
rnacentral:lncRNA from 7 species